AAGUAACAAGGUUUCCGUAGGAGCAAGAUUAACGGGUUCAAAGGGGUGUUUUUAACGUUGGAUACGUGUUAAUGAUCCUUCCGCAGGUUCCCUCACGCCCUGCACGCCUAGCAAUCUGGUAAAUCAUUGUCUGAACAGAUUUGGAGUCAGGGACUUCUGACGCAAAGAAUGGGACAACUCCAUCUGCGUGGGAUGUUUGCGACGUAGCAAAUCACUUGGCUCCCCAAGCAACCAUGUUUCUAAAAGCGGCUCAUGGAAGCAUAACAUUUUGCUGUAGGCCCACAUGGCCGGCAAUCCAAGUGGUUGUACUUCGGUACAUACAUCGGUACACCCCCGAUGAGAACGUCAAUUUAGCGAAUGGACUAAAAGCCUCGCAACAAAAACCGAACAAGGAUAUCUUGGUUCUC
rnacentral:misc_RNA from 1 species